AACCCCUGUGACAUACCACUUGUUGCCUCGGCGGAUCAGCCCGCUCCCGGUAAAACGGGACGGCCCGCCAGAGGACCCCUAAACUCUGUUUCUAUAUGUAACUUCUGAGUAAAACCAUAAAUAAAUCAAAACUUUCAACAACGGAUCUCUUGGUUCUGGCAUCGAUGAAGAACGCAGCAAAAUGCGAUAAGUAAUGGGAAUUGCAGAAUUCAGUGAAUCAUCGAAUCUUUGAACGCACAUUGCGCCCGCCAGUAUUCUGGCGGGCAUGCCUGUUCGAGCGUCAUUUCAACCCUCAAGCACAGCUUGGUGUUGGGACUCGCGUUAAUUCGCGUUCCCCAAAUUGAUUGGCGGUCACGUCGAGCUUCCAUAGCGUAGUAGUAAAACCCUCGUUACUGGUAAUCGUCGCGGCCACGCCGUUAAACCCCAACUUCUGAAUGUUGACCUCGGAUCAGGUAGGAAUACCCGCUGAACUUAAGCAUAUCA
rnacentral:rRNA from 1 species